GAUGAACGCUGGCGGCGUGCCUAAUACAUGCAAGUCGAGCGAACAGACGAGGAGCUUGCUCCUCUGACGUUAGCGGCGGACGGGUGAGUAACACGUGGAUAACCUACCUAUAAGACUGGGAUAACUUCGGGAAACCGGAGCUAAUACCGGAUAACAUGUUGAACCGCAUGGUUCAACAGUGAAAGACGGUCUUGCUGUCACUUAUAGAUGGAUCCGCGCCGCAUUAGCUAGUUGGUAAGGUAACGGCUUACCAAGGCAACGAUGCGUAGCCGACCUGAGAGGGUGAUCGGCCACACUGGAACUGAGACACGGUCCAGACUCCUACGGGAGGCAGCAGUAGGGAAUCGUCCGCAAUGGGCGAAAGCCUGACGGAGCAACGCCGCGUGAGUGAAGAAGGUCUUCGGAUCGUAAAACUCUGUUAUUAGGGAAGAACAAAUGUGUAAGUAACUAUGCACGUCUUGACGGUACCUAAUCAGAAAGCCACGGCUAACUACGUG
rnacentral:rRNA from 1 species